rnacentral:rRNA from 1 species
UACGUAGGGUGCGAGCGUUAAUCGGAAUUACUGGGCGUAAAGCGUGCGCAGGCGGUUUUGUAAGCCAGAUGUGAAAGCCCCGGGCUUAACCUGGGAAUGGCAUUUGGGACUGCAAGGCUUGAGUGCGGCAGAGGAGACUGGAAUUCCUGGUGUAGCAGUGAAAUGCGUAGAUAUCAGGAGGAACACCAAUGGCGAAAGCAGCUUUCUGGGACGGUACUGACGCUGAGACGCGAAAGCGUGGGGAGCGAACAGG